rnacentral:tRNA from 1 species
GCGAGUGUAGUUCAAUGGUAGAACGAGAGCUUCCCAAGCUCUAUACGAGGGUUCGAUUCCCUUCACUUACG